rnacentral:tRNA from 5 species
GCCGAAGUAGUUCAAUGGCAGAACAUUGCUUUCGUAAAGCAGAAACGUGAGUUCGAUUCUCACCUUCGGCUCCA